AAGUUGAUAAAGCAAGCGUUUUCCAAUAACGCAAAACGUUAGUAUCCUCAGUUUUAAAGUUGUAUUCCAGUAAGGCUUUUCUAUUAUACCAAUGUCCUCUUUUACCCACCAAAUAUAUAUUUUGAGAUAAAAGGGUAUCUAAUAUUUCAUGUUCAACCUCAACUAAUCGCGACUUCGCGAGAAUAUUUAGACUUUUAUGUAUUAAGUAUGUGUAAACAGCACCAGGACGAAAGCUAAAAGAAAACCUUACCAAUCGAGUAUCUACUUUUCUAUUUUCUUCCACCCAAAAUUCCCUAAUGUCUUCAUUUAGAUAUGUCGACCAUAUAGGAUAUAUUUCAAAAAAACUGUUCAACGCUUGUUCGAGUGCUUCCUUAUCCGAAGCGGCAGUGUUUUCAAAGAUUGGAACCAAGUUUUUUGAAAGUUCUAAAACCUCAACGUAUUCAAGGCAUUGAGCACGACAAUUAAAGACGUUUGAAGUUCGCGAUAAAACGUAAUUCGGGUAGGAAAAUUUGUUAAGGCGUGCUAAUAUUAAAGACGUAAGCGAUUGUUCAUCAUAAAUGGACGAACGAAAGUACACAAUAUUAAUUCGAUGAAAUAGGUCUACUAAAAUUUUCUUUGGUUUCACACAGGAUUUGCAUUGAUAUAAUAGUUGCUUCCGAAGAAACGACUCUUGCUUAUGCAUCACACCAAAAGCAUCAAAGGACAAAAAUUGUUGACCAUUACAAUGUAGUACUGAUUGUCUUUUAGAUAGGAAAAUGAUUUCUUUUGAAAUUUCAGACCUGCUUUUUCCACACACCUUCGUUUGUCUAGCUAACGAACGCAAUUCAUCGAGAGAUAGAAUUUCAAUUAUUUCUUCAGUUGACAUGAGUGAUUCAUCUUCAAAAAAAUUUUUCAGAACAAGCUGCUUACAGCAGGCAAUAACAUCCUUGCAAUCUGGAUAAGUCAAAUGGCCCACGCGGAACCAUUUAUUUCUUUUACGCAUGAAUAGACGAACAAACAAGUACCGUUCAUCCGAGUCUAAAGCUUUAAAGUUUUCAAUAACCCUCAACUCAUCAUCAGUAAAGAUAUGCGGUUCACAAUCGAGGACGGUGUUUAGGAUUUCUUCGAACCCCAGCAGAUACAUUGAAUUUUUAGUAGAAUAUACAUUGUGCUUAUUAGUAUUGGCAACUUGUCCUUUAACUGUUGUCUCUGGUGCUUGACAUACAACUUUUAAGGGAGGGAAACAUAACUUGUUCUCGUUUACCCCAGAUUUAUCUGGAGUGUUUAUGUCGCACGCUUCAUUAAAGAAUCGUUUCAUGAAUUUUUAGAUAUCACAGCAGCGCGACUGAAUAAGUGCACAAGAUGAUGGCCGUAAGUAAACAAAUAUUUAAAAAAAAGAGCGGCUUUUACAACA